UAAUAUAUAGUUAAUCUGCCCCAAAGAAGAGAAUAAUUGUUGGAAACGACUUGUAACGCUCUAUAUGCCUUUAUUACAUAAGUAAGCAAGGGAAACAUUUAUGGCUUUGGGAUGAGACUGUACGGUAUCAGCUAGUUGGUGAGGUAAUGGCUCACCAAGGCUAUGACAUCUAACUGGUUUGAGAGGAUGAUCAGUCACACUGGAACUGAGACACGGUCCAGACUCCUACGGGAGGCAGCAGUGGGGAAUAUUGCACAAUGGAGGAAACUCUGAUGCAGCAACGCCGCGUGGAGGAUGACACAUUUCGGUGCGUAAACUCCUUUUAUAUGAGAAGAUAAUGACGGUAUCAUAUGAAUAAGCACCGGCUAACUCCGUGCCAGCAGCCGCGGUAAUACGGGGGGUGCAAGCGUUACUCGGAAUCACUGGGCGUAAAGAGCAUGUAGGCUGGUUUGUAAGUUGGAAGUGA
rnacentral:rRNA from 1 species